CUUGGAUGGCUAUAAUUGCAGACAGCUAAAUACCAUUGGCCUCUACAUUAGGAAAAGGUGUAUUUUGAAAGAUAUGAAGGAAAAAGGGUUGUGGGGGCUUUCUAAUGUGUAGGGCCUAGAGAUCAAUGUGUGAAGCCCGUUAACAAGUCCUAUCUGAGUAUGUACAAAUAAUAUCAUGUACCUAGGUGUGCCCUACAACUAUAAAGGACCAAAUCUGCCUGUAGGGGAAAAGUGUGUGUGGCUAGGCAAGAUGUGAGCUGAAAGAGACCUAGCUGCAGGGAAUUUGGCUCACGAGGAGCAUCUGCUAAGGUCAAAAGGUGUGUAAUUUGUAUUGAGCAGAAGUUAAGUGGAAAAGAGAAAGAGCUAGAGAAAAGCAGGUAGCAUCGUUGUUAAUUUUUCUAGCUGUUUUUUUCAUCCAAGCAAUUCCCCCCCCUAAACAAAGGCAAAAAGUUCUGUAUUCAUUCAAAAAUGCAUGGCGCUCAGUUACCUAGGAGACAGAUUAUGGCCCUGGCAGACAUGCUUAAGUAACCCAUGUGGACAAAACUGAUUGUCACCUUUUUUAUUUUCAAACCUAAAGGGAGUGUGUUUUUGGCACUAUGCAGUACCAUAAGAGCCCUUGUGAAAAUGUGUGGGAAAUACUAAGCAUGGGAGUCACAUAUUUGGUCCCAGGUUUUGUAUAAUGAUGUAACAUACAUCUAUGAACUGGAUGUAGUAAAUAUGUUUAUAUAUUUUAAUGACUUAAUUAGAUAUACAUAGUUAUUAAGGUCAGAAGGGACCAUUAUGAUCAUCUAGUCCGACCUCCUGCACAACGCAGGCCACAGAAUCUCACCCACCCACUCCUGCGAAAAACCUCUCACCUAUGUCUGAGCUAUUGAAGUCCUCAAAUCGUGGUUUAAAGACUUUCAAGGUGCAGAGAAUCCUCCGGCAAGUGACCCAUGCCCCAUGCUACAGAGGAAGGUGAAAAACCUCCAGGGCCUCUGCCAAUCUGCCCUGGAGGAAAAUUCCUUCCCGACCCCAAAUAUGGCGAUCAGCUGAACCCUGAGCAUAUGGGCAAGAUUCACCAGCCAGAUACCCAGGAAAGAAUUCUCUGUAGUAACUCAGAUCGCAACCCAUCUAACGUCCCAUCACAGGCUAUCAGGCCUAAAAACUUAAAAUUCACUGUUCAGCUAACCAAGUAUAAACUUAACAUAUCAGAGGUGUCAGUAUACACACACGUGCCCCCCUGGCCCCUGCACUUAUAGAACACAUGUGCUUGGGUUUUGCAAUAGAUCAGAUCACGAUGCUUUUCUUUGUAGUUACGAGGUUUUUCUUGGCCCUGCUUGGUGCUCUUGCAAGCAGUACCAAGCAUUGCUCUGCCUAGUCUGAGGAAUGCCACUGACCUGAGUACUUACAUGGGAAGGGAUUGCAGUCGCAAGACCCUUAAACAUCAAGAUUGUUUUUACCUCUGAACGGAUGAGUCUGAUUAAACUGUUCCCACCCAAUACUCCCAGUCAGUGUGUGUGGCAGGGACACACCACUUUUUGCAUGGACCACCUGCCAGGUAGUACAGUGCCCAGAACUCAGGAACGCGAGAGCAUGAAAGAAGCUCUUUUUCCAUUGGCUGGGGAUGGGGAGCUGGGUUACCUAAUUGACUCUCACUUUCCCCUCCCCUUCCUAUUUAAACUCUGCCAGGUGGAGGAGGGGUGAGGAUAACUGGAGCUGCUUGCUCCGGCCUGGGUGCAAGUGUUCUGAGGGCAGUGGAAGGGUUUGGGCAAAGGAUGCAGCGUGUGCACUAGAGUCAAAGGCAAGAAUUAGGUGAGUUAGCAGAGAAGGGUAAGCACAGUUUAAUAGUGGCCUCUGUAGGAAAACAUAGGUGCAGGCUAAAAGGGAAAAAGCAUGUUACCUAAACCAGCGGCUUAGGGCCAGCUUGUCCCCGCGAUGGGAAAAAUCUGGGUAGGGGAGUGGAAACGUCGGAGGCUCCCCUUGAUCAUGUCCAUGGCAUCAGUGCUUUAGUCCAGGUUGGACCCCAGCCUGGAAUGAGUUAUUCUGACCCCCAAAGCCUGCAGCUGCGUAGAGACCAGAGAAGUGUGAUGGGGCGUUGUGCAGCCAUACUGGCUCCUGCCACUGUGGCUUAGUCAGCUGACAAACUUAUGUGGGGUCAGAGUUGCAGGGGAUGUGUAGAGUGGUCACUUCAGCUCUAGCCCGUCCCUUUCCCAGGGAUGAAUCCUGACCCCUGGUGCCCUCCACGGGGAGGCUUGGGAGGGAACGAAAGAAUGUUGCUAGGGAGGUGCCACCCCCACCUAGCUCUGUGUCACCCCCUCUUGGCUGCCCAGGCUGAAAGAACAGCUCAGUCCUCAAAGCUGAUGAAAGGUGUUGUUGUUUUUUUUUCUCCUGGAGCUGCUGUCCUGGCCUAAGUGCUUUCCCCAGCGUGUCCUGCCUGCCCUGUAUCCCUGCGAUGGCACAGUUACAGCAGUAAGGGAGGAGAUUUUAAACUCUUACCGCUUUAGCCCAUAGAUGUAACAAACCGCGAUUGUCUCCACCAGAACGAUGAGCAGCAGAGAGAGGGUAGCUGCAUAGUCAUUGAAUAUGUCGAACCAAUAGUUUCCAGCCUCCAUGGUGAACGCCAGGCCAACAAUGCAGUUGAUGAAACACACAGUACCUGUAGAAAUAAAACAGAGGUUAUUUGAGUCACAACGGAAAGGCAAAUGUUAGUAGGGCAGGAGUCAGAAGCUUUGCGUAGAAUAAAAGACACUGGGUUUUAGCCUGUUUGUAGUGGUAAUUGGUAGUCUUAUUAGGGGAACCAAGAAAACUAGCAAUAUCUAGAUACUACAGGGAUUGAUGCUAUAUAAAUACUCAGGCUAGAGCGUCAAUGUGGAUGAGGCCUGUGCCCCCAUUGUUAAGUGUACGUAGCUUGCAUUAUAAAGCAUUAAUAACCAUUUCCCUACACUUGAAAAACUGAUUCUUCAUCUGGCACUUUCCUAUAUAAAUGAGCAGAGAUGCCUUGAAAAGGCACCGAUUGUUACAAUCAGCAUCUGGGAUGUUCUCUGACAGCACUGACUGGCGGGGUUAGAGAAAGGUGAAACUUCCUCUUGCCUGCUUUCUAAGUUACAUUUAAUUUUAAAGGCAGUAUCUUAGUAUUUCGGCACUCAGCACCAAAUGUGAGGUGCCUUGCAUCUGCAUAUCUCCAUCUUGUGAAGAGCUCAAAUCACUUUGCAAACAUCAAUGAACUAAGAUUCACAGCAUCCCUGUGAAUCUGGAGGGUAUUGUGAUUUUUCUUUUUAUUUGACCUGAUGACGACCGUCUAAAUCUCCUGUUACAACAGUAAAGGCAUGGUGUGACUGCUGUUAAAGUAUGCAGACACUAAAAAAUAUUUCCUUGCAAAAUAUUUUCUAAUGACCCUGCUCCGACACUGUUAUUGCUGGUUUGGUUAUGAGCACAGAGCUAUUGACUGUGAUGUCUUGUAACUAGAUAUAGAAGAAGCAUCUCUAAUUAUUUGUUUAAUCACACAUGCACCCUCCCACCGAGUGGCCUUUGUUCUGUGUCAUGAGCACAAAAAGUCUUUGCAUGGUUUUGGCAGGCUAUUUGAAUGAAAUAACCAUGGAACUCUGACUGCUGAUAAUGAUAGACUAUUUAUAGUUAAAACUAUGCAGGUGGUGUAAUACAGGAACUGAUGCUGUCAUAAAUAUAAAGGGAAGGGUAAACACCUUGACAAUCCGUCCUGGCCAGAGGAAAAACCCUUUCACCUGUAAAGGGUUAAGAAGCUAGGAUAACCUCACUGGCACCUGACCACAAUGACCAAUGAGGAGACAAGAUACUUUCAAAGCUGGGGGGAAACAAAGGGUAUGGGUCUGUCUGUGUGAUGCUUUUGCCGGGGACAGAACAGGAAUGGAGUCUUAGAACUUAACCUGACCAUCAAGAUAAGCUUCUAGUUCUGACUGGGGGGAAAGGAAACAAAGAAAAAAAGACAACCAAGGCUGGUGCACAAAGGAGCAAGUUACCGUGUCUAGUUCAGCUUCCAGACUGCAGUUUUUAAUCUGUGGCAAUAAUUCUACAUACUGGUUUGGAUCUGUUGUUAUGUUACUGUGCAUACCUGAAAACGAUUGACAUCAGGAAAAAAGAAAAGGAUUUCUGCUUGUUCAGUCUUUUCACCAGUAUUUUCUACCACCAGACUGAAGGUGGCAUGUCAGGAAUGACCCGUGAGUACAGAUCAGAGCACCUGCAUCUCUAUCUACUUCAACUGAGCCUGCAAUCUGAUACUCAGAUUUGUGCCCACAACUGAAAGGUGGGCAAAACUAUUGGUUGGACAUAUGCUUUGAGAUUGUAAAUUGUAUCUGCAAAAAGGAUGUCUCCAAAAAUUUGGCCCUCGGUAUUUGCGCUCUUGUUUGUUUGCUAUCUUGAUAAUCUGUUUGGAUAUUUCCUGGGAUGAUGUACUAUGAGAGCCCUUGACACUGGAGAGUCUGUGGAAUUUCCAGCUAUUGUACAAACCUUUUUG